rnacentral:rRNA from 1 species
UCGAACGGGAAUGCCGCGCUGAUGCGAUUUCGGUCAAAUCAUGUGGCAUUCGAGUGGCGGACGGGUGAGUAACGCGUGGGUAACCUGCCUUACACAGGGGGAUAACACCUGGAAACAGGUGCUAAUACCGCAUAAGCGCACAGGGCCGCAUGGCCCGGUGUGAAAAACUCCGGUGGUGUAAGAUGGACCCGCGUCUGAUUAGCUUGUUGGCGGGGUAGGGGCCCACCAAGGCGACGAUCAGUAGCCGGCCUGAGAGGGUGGACGGCCACAUUGGGACUGAGACACGGCCCAAACUCCUACGGGAGGCAGCAGUGGGGGAUAUUGGACAAUGGGGGAAACCCUGAUCCAGCGACGCCGCGUGAGUGAAGAAGUAUUUCGGUAUGUAAAGCUCUGUCAGCAGGGAAGAAAGAAAUGACGGUACCUGACCAAGAAGCCCCGGCUAACUACGUGCCAGCAGCCGCGGUAAUACGUAGGGGGCAAGCGUUAUCCGGAAUUACUGGGUGUAAAGGGAGCGUAGACGGUGAUGCAAGUCUGGAGUGAAAGGCGGGGGCCCAACCCCCGGACUGCUCUGGAAACUGUGUAACUUGAGUGCAGGAGAGGUAAGCGGAAUUCCUAGUGUAGCGGUGAAAUGCGUAGAUAUUAGGAGGAACACCAGUGGCGAAGGCGGCUUACUGGACUGUAACUGACGUUGAGGCUCGAAAGCGUGGGGAGCAUUCAAAAGUAGAUACCCUGGUAGUCCACGCCGUAAA